UGUGCAGAAAUCCACAGAAUUACAAACCUCAACCUAAAGAACCACUUUUAUACUGUGUUGGACCAACAUGCCCCCCAGCUGCAGAGCUUAUUCAGAAAGAAAGCUGCUCGCGCAGGGAAAGUGUCUGAUGUUCUGUCUCAACUCUUCUGAACCUAUGAUCUCCAGGAACAAGCUGAUAUCCAUGCCCGACGUGCUGUUGUGCUUCAUGCCCUCCCUGCCUAUUUGGACGAAGACACCUCUACCUUCAUCAAAACUUGGGAUAUGAUGCAUUCUGAUGAACCAGAUAUUAGUGAAGUGCCACUUGGACUCCUCCUGAUCAGAGCCAAUUCCAGCGAUGCAACAUUCUUCUGCCCUGAGAAGAUUGCAGUUUUGGUCGAGGGUAACAUAAUCAUUGAUUUCCCCACCCUGGCUGAUGCAUUUCUGAUAAUAUUUGGACUGACUUACGCCCGGCAUCUAAGCUACCCAAAAUGUUUGGCCAACACAUUUGACUUUAUUCAGAAAGUUUUGAUGGGUCUGGAGGAUGGGAAAUUGAAGCCUAAAGUGCUGAGUCUCAAAAAUGAUCUUUUGGCAGCAGAAUAAUGUCCAGGGUU